rnacentral:rRNA from 1 species
GUAUUUGCAUGCGCGUUGCGUGCAUGCGACGCUGCGUGGAGGAUGAAGGCUUUCGAGUCGUAAACUCCUGUCAUUCGGGAACAAAUUCAGUCGGUUAAUAACCGGCUGGCUUGAGGGUACCGGAAGAGGAAGCCACGGCUAACUCUGUGCCAGCAGCCGCGGUAAUACAGAGGUGGCUAGCGUUGUUCGGAUUUACUGGGCGUAAAGGGUGCGUAGGCGGUAACGUGUGUCGGAUGUGAAAUCCCAUGGCUCAACCAUGGAAUGGCAUCCGAAACUGCGAUACUUGAGUACAGGAGGGGAGAGCGGAAUUCUUGGUGUAGCGGUGAAAUGCGUUGAUAUCAAGAGGAACACCGGUGGCGAAGGCGGCUCUCUGGAAUGUUACUGACGCUGAGGCACGAAAGUCGGGGGAGCAAACAGGAUUAGAUACCCUGGUAGUCCCGACCAUAAACGUUGUGAACUUGGUGUGGGGGGAAUUGACCCCCUCCGUACCGGAGCUAACGCGUUAAGUUCACCGCCUGGGGAGUACGGCCGCAAGGCUAAAACUCAAAGAAAUUGACGGGGGCCCGCACAAGCGGAGGAGCAUGUGGCUUAAUUCGAUGCAACGCGAAGAACCUUACCAGGGCUUGACAUGCAGCUGCACGCUUACCGAAAGGUAGGAAGCUUUCGAAGGUGCUGCACAGGUGCUGCAUGGCUGUCGUCAGUUCGUGCCGUGAGGUGUUAGGUUAAGUCCUGCAACGAACGCAACCCUUGUGUUUAGUUGCCACCGCAGGUGAUGAGCCUGCGAGCACUCUAAACAGACUGCCUGUGUAAGCGGGAGGAAGGUGGGGAUGACGUCAAGUCAGUAUGGCCCUUACGCCCUGGGCUGCACACGUGCUACAAUGGCCCGGUACAAUGAGAUGCGAAACCGGGGAGGUGAAG